rnacentral:rRNA from 1 species
GAUGAACGCUAGCGGCAGGCUUAAUACAUGCAAGUCGAGGGACAGCACAGGUAGCAAUACUGGGUGGUAACCGGCAAACGGGUGCGGAACACGUACACAACCUUCCUUUAAGUGGGGGAUAGCCCAGAGAAAUUUGGAUUAAUACCCCGUAAUAUAGUUGAAUGGCAUCAUUUGAUUAUUAUAGCUACGGCGCUUAAUGAUGGGUGUGCGGCUGAUUAGAUAGUUGGCGGGGUAACGGCCCACCAAGUCUACGAUCAGUAGCUGAUGUGAGAGCAUGAUCAGCCAAACGGGCACUGAGACACGGGCCCGACUCCUACGGGAGGCAGCAGUAAGGAAUAUUGGUCAGUGGACGCAAGUCUGAACCAGCCAUGCCGCGUGAAGGAUUAAGGUCCUCUGGAUUGUAAACUUCUUUUAUUUGGGACGAAAAAGGGCCUUUCUAGGUCAACUGACGGUACCAGAUGAAUAAGCACCGGCUAACUCCGUGCCAGCCGCCGCCGUAAUAC